rnacentral:rRNA from 1 species
UACGAAGGGGGCUAGCGUUGCUCGGAAUCACUGGGCGUAAAGGGUGCGUAGGCGGGUUUUUAAGUCAGAGGUGAAAUGCUGGAGCUCAACUCCAGAACUGCCUUUGAUACUGAAAGUCUUGAGUAUGGGAGAGGUGAGUGGAACUGCGAGUGUAGAGGUGAAAUUCGUAGAUAUUCGCAAGAACACCAGUGGCGAAGGCGGCUCACUGGCCCAUAACUGACGCUGAGGCGCGAAAGCUAGGGGAGCAAACGGG